GGAUGACCGCUGGCGGCGUGCCUACUACAUGCAAGUCGAGCGAACAGACGAGGAGCUUGCUUCUCUGACGUUAGCGGCGGACGGGUGAGUAACACGUGGAUAACCUACCUAUAAGACUGGGAUAACUUCGGGAAACCGGAGCUAAUACCGGAUAAUAUAUUGAACCGCAUGGUUCAAUAGUGAAAGACGGUUUUGCUGUCACUUAUAGAUGGAUCCGCGCCGCAUUAGCUAGUUGGUAAGGUAACGGCUUACCAAGGCAACGAUGCGUAGCCGACCUGAGAGGGUGAUCGGCCACACUGGAACUGAGACACGGUCCAGACUCCUACGGGAGGCAGCAGUAGGGAAUCUUCCGCAAUGGGCGAAAGCCUGACGGAGCAACGCCGCGUGAGUGAUGAAGGUCUUCGGAUCGUAAAACUCUGUUAUUAGGGAAGAACAAAUGUGUAAGUAACUAUGCACGUCUUGACGGUACCUAAUCAGAAAGCCACGGCUAACUACGUG
rnacentral:rRNA from 1 species